GAUGAAGAACGCAGCGAAGUGCGAUAAGUAAUGUGAAUUGCAAAUUCUGUGAAUCAUCGAAUCUUUGAACGCAAAUUGCACUCUUUUCGGAGAGUAUUCCUGUUUGAGGGUCAGUAUAAUAAAAAUCGGUAUGUUGCUUUUUUUGUGACGUUCCGGAGUUUGAGUUAUCUUAAUUUUUUAGGUUAAGAGGCUUAAAAUUGACAUCUUUUUUGCGCAUUUUUAGACGUACAUAAAUUUUUUUUAUUCGUUUAUCCUAAUGCCAAAAUCUAUUAGAUGCGAUCAUAUCAUGUGGUUUCGUAUCUAUAAUUUUUUCAUGAUUUGACCUCAAAUCAGGUAGGAGUACCCGCUGAACUUAAGCAUAUCAAUAAGCGGAGGA
rnacentral:misc_RNA from 1 species